GUAGGUUGCAAGCGUUGUCCGGAUUUACUGGGUGUAAAGGGCGUGUAGGCGGAGCUGCAAGUCAGAUGUGAAAUCCCGGGGCUCAACCCCGGAACUGCAUUUGAAACUGUAGCCCUUGAGUAUCGGAGAGGCAAGCGGAAUUCCUAGUGUAGCGGUGAAAUGCGUAGAUAUUAGGAGGAACACCAGUGGCGAAGGCGGCUUGCUGGACGACAACUGACGCUGAGGCGCGAAAGCGUGGGGAGCAAACAGGAUUAGAUACCCUGGUAGUCCACGCUGUAAACGAUGAAUACUAGGUGUGAGGGGACUGACCCCCUCCGUGCCGCAGUUAACACAAUAAGUAUUCCACCUGGGGAGUACGGCCGCAAGGCUG
rnacentral:rRNA from 1 species